UUGUUUCAACGCUGAUCAGGUGCCUGAUCGCCACGCUGCCAAACGUGGCUGGAUCAGGGUAAACGGGAAGUUCGGUGCGCUGUGGCUUGAUGGCUGCUGCAAGUAAUACCGACGCUGCCCCCGCAACGGUGAAGGGAUUGUGGUCCCUAAGCCCGAAACCGGCCUGAGCAGUAUUUUCUUG
rnacentral:ncRNA from 2 species